UCCGGGGUAGCUCAAUGGCAGAGCAUUCGACUGUUAAUCGAAGGGUUGUCGGUUCGAGUCCGACCCCCGGAG
rnacentral:tRNA from 1 species